GAACGCUAGCGGCAGGCUUAAUACAUGCAAGUCGUGGGGCAGCAUGAGUAGACAAUACUUGAUGGCGACCGGCAACGGGUGAGGAACACGUACACAACCUUCCUUCAAGCGGGGAAUAGCCCAGAGAAUUUGGAUUAAUACCCAUAAUAUAUUUGAUAAGGCACCUUAUUAAUAUUAAAGCUUCGGCACUUGAUGAUGGGUGUGCGGCUGAUUAGAUAGUUGGCGGGGUAACGGCCCACCAAGUCUACGAUCAGUAGCUGAUGUGAGAGCAUGAUCAGCCACACGGGCACUGAGACACGGGCCCGACUCCUACGGGAGGCAGCAGUAAGGAAUAUUGGACAAUGGACGAAAGUCUGAUCCAGCCAUGCCGCGUGAAGGAUUAAGGUCCUCUGGAUUGUAAACUUCUUUUAUAUGGGACGAAAAAAGGGCAUUCUUGUUCACUUGACGGUACCAUAUGAAUAAGCACCGGCUAACUCCGUG
rnacentral:rRNA from 1 species